UGAGUCCAGAAAAUAAUUUAUAAAAGUUUUGGAUGUUCAAUUUUUCAAUGCAAUGUUUUCUUUUCUUUUCUUUUUUAAGUUUUCAUGAAGAGACUUUUGUUGAUAUUAUUCAUUUUUUGGAUUUAGUAAUGAUUGAAUGGAAACACCAUCCUUCUGGUGCAUCUGUCAGAAGCCUGUCAGAAGCUUCAACAUUUUUUACUAAAUCCUACUAAGUCCUUUGCUGACUAGUUUCAUUGAUCACGCAAUUGCUGGCUAGGCUGGCUUUGCUAUAUCUUCUUGAUGUUAUCUUCUCUCAGCAAGAUCUUCACAGAUUCCCUUGGAAAGUACAGAAUCAUCUGCUAUCAUAUUAAACUAUUUCAGGG
rnacentral:lncRNA from 1 species